GACGAACGCUGGCGGCGUGCUUAACACAUGCAAGUCGAACGGAAAGGCCCUGCUUUUGUGGGGUGCUCGAGUGGCGAACGGGUGAGUAACACGUGAGUAACCUGCCCUUGACUUUGGGAUAACUUCAGGAAACUGGGGCUAAUACCGGAUAGGAGCUCCUGCUGCAUGGUGGGGGUUGGAAAGUUUCGGCGGUUGGGGAUGGACUCGCGGCUUAUCAGCUUGUUGGUGGGGUAGUGGCUUACCAAGGCUUUGACGGGUAGCCGGCCUGAGAGGGUGACCGGCGACAUUGGGACUGAGAUACGGCCCAGACGCCUACGGGAGGCAGAAGUGGGGAAUAUUGCACAAUGGGCGGAAGCCGGAUGCAGCAACGCCGCGUGCGGGAUGACGGCCUUCGGGUGGUAAACCGCUUUCGCAUGUGACGAAGCGGGAGUGACGGUAAUGGGUAAAGAAGCACCGGCUAACUACGUG
rnacentral:rRNA from 1 species